AACUCUUAUAUACCAGUAUGUACCAAUAAAUAUGCAUUUUACACAUGGCUGCCCCUCUUGGUUUGUCAAUUUAAGUUUCUUUUUUUUAGCCAAAAAGGUAUUCCAUGACUUUGAUAUCGUUCAAGUGCUUCUUCCCUGUUUAACAUAUUCUUAAUCUUGGGAUUUUACAUAAAUGUGCGAUAAUGUUGGACAGCCUGGGAUGCCAAGACAGCCACCUAACUCACAGCCAAAUCCAUUUGGGAGUUCCUACUUUGCAGGAUUGUCUUUUGCUUGUCAGCUUUUGUAUCUACUAGAUGCUACUGGGUUCUAUUCUUUAGGAUUACACGUUCUUGGGAUUCAUGUUUGUCGAGCUACAGGGCAGGAGCUGGUACUUAUUCUAGAGGCCCUUCAAAAUGGAGUCUCUUGAUGAAUCUACCUCUUCCUCCAUCAGCCAUGGUAUUCAUGUCUUCCAUUGCCCAGAUGAGUUGGGAAUAGUUGCAAAGCUAUCAGAAUGUAUUGCUUCAAUAGGUGGAAACAUUCUCAAUGCUGAUGUUUUUGUGCCCGAGGACAAGAAUGUGUUUUACUCUAGAAGAUUGUAACCUGGCAUUCACAAUUUGCAAACAUUUGAUGCUGGCGUCAAAUUAAUUGGUGCACCAAGUCACUUUGUUACUAAAGAACUUGACUUGGCUAGGUUCAAGACUUGACAAGGUUUAUGGGUGCACAAUUGCAGGUUGCUUUGGAUGAAGCAGUUUUCUUGUUGGAUUUGGCUUCUGUGGAAGGCACCUGGGAUGACAAUUUGGAGCGGAUUGCUGAAUGUUAUCGGGAAGCUGGGCUCCAUGAAAUUGCCAAAUUUGUGCUAUACAGAAAUUGAACUGAAGUUGAUUUUGGCAUAUGCUUAUCUUGCUUUCAUGUACAUUUCCAAUUUUGUAAUCUGCUGCCGCCUACAAUUCUGGAAUUACAUCUGAAGAUGAUAUUUUGGAUUAUGUUAUGACGUUGAUUAUAACAUCUAAUUGAAUUCAAGACCAAG